AUUGAACGCUGGCGGCAGGCCUAACACAUGCAAGUCGAGCGAGAGGCGGACGGGUGAGUAAUGUAUGGGGACUGCCCGAUAGAGGGGGAUAACUACUGGAAACGGUGGCUAAUACAGCAUACUAUCGGAUAACCCAUAUGGGAUUAGCUAGUAGGUGGGGUAAAGGCUCACCUAGGCGACGAUCUCUAGCUGGUCUGAGAGGAUGAUCAGCCACACGGGGACUGAUACACUGCCCAUACUCCUCCGGAGGCAGCAGUGGGGAAUAUUGCACCAUGGGCGCAAGCCUGUUGCAGCCAUGCCGCGUGUAUGAAGAAGGCCUGUGGUGUGUAAAGUACUUUCAGCGGGGAGGCGUUACCCGCAGAAGAAGCACCGGCUAACUCCGUGCCAGCCGCCGCGGUAAUAC
rnacentral:rRNA from 1 species